UACAUGGGGUGCAAACGUUGCUCGGAAUUAUUGGGCGUAAAGCGCGCGUAGGCGGUUACUUAAGUCGGAUGUGAAAGCCCUCGGCUUAACUGAGGAAGUGCACCCGAAACUGAGUAGCUAGAGUACGAAAGAGGGUCGCGGAAUUCCCGGUGUAGAGGUGAAAUUCGUAGAUAUCGGGAGGAACACCGGUGGCGAAGGCGGCGACCUGGGUCGAGACUGACGCUGAGACGCGAAGGCGUGGGGAGCAAACAGG
rnacentral:rRNA from 1 species